CGUCGUCCCCGCCGCGGCCCGCGCCGUCCCCAGCGCCAGCCGCGCGGCCGCGCACCAUUCACCCGGGGGAGAGGCGGAGGAACGUGCGGGUGGGGCAGGGAAGGAAGGCGGCCCCAUCUCCGCCCCCCUUCCCUUCCUUUAUCCCAGUGGGGCCCAGACCCGCGCAACCAGGCGGGGAGGGGAGGUGGGCGCGCGAUUGGGUUGCGAUCUGGAGCAGUGGGGACAGGUCAGGAACCGGCGCGUAUUUCUGCAGUGAGACCACAGGACGGACAUCGGCGCCUUCGGCUUCGAUGGAGUUGCGAUUUUGCUCUUUCCAGGGAAACAGUGGCAGGGUGUUUGCUGCUUAUCGGUUCCUGCGGAUAUGCCUGGGUCCCAGGACAUUCCACUGGAGGCUUGGACUGCAUUUAGGAGCCCCUAUCCCUUCCCUGUCCACACUGUUAGUGAGCAAUUUCAUAUGUUUGCAUUUAGACCCAUAGACUCAGAACGACUCAUCACACACACACACAGUGUACACUGACACACUCACAUUCGCACACUUAGGUAUACAGCCUGAUCCUUGCUCUGACCUGGUAACAACGCUUCCUCCUCCAGAGACUUUGAGAUAGAGCGAGCGAUCCCUGUGCACCAUUCAUCCAUGCUCCCACCUCGCCAGUAUGGCUGGCUUAGUUCUGGAAGGGGCUUAAGAGGAACAAGCCCCAGCUGUGCUUCUGGCUGGGACUUAAACCCCCCUUCUGGGCCCUAAAGCCACGCUUCUUUGUGGACCGGACCUGACUCUCCAGGAAUCUGGGAACCCGCUAUUUCACUCUAUUUUGGGACAAGAAAAAGGGGCUCUUUGGGGCCACUUCCUGCCUUCCCCUCAAGUAGGAUCUCCAGCCUGCAGAGGGUGCCUAGUCCUUCUUUGCCCAAGAACCAGUCCAAGAAGCCUUUCCUCUGUGCCUGGGAAAUGCAACCUUUUCUUGGGAGCAUGGUAGGGUGUUGGUGCUGAAGAACCAAGCAGCGACCCGUCUUGUAGCUGCCAUGUUUUGUCGAGGGGUUCUGGGGGUCCUGCUGCUUUAGAGCCACAUACUUCCACUUCCUGAUUCACUACUGUGAGCUGGUCAGAUGCCUAGAAGAGGAACAAGCGUUCAAAGUGAAAGUGGGCACAUUACCGGAAUAGUGCUGGGGAGAGUGCUGGAUUCUUUUCCACCCCAGGCGGACUGGUGAGAAGCCAGGCUUGGACCUGUCCUCUGCUCCUAGCUUGCACACUCAGCCCUAAACUCAGAGCAGCACGCAUACCACCCCUCACACACACCCCACCAUCUGCUGUCUAAGGCCCCUGGGCUUCCUGCAGGAUCCAGACCAAUGUGGCUGGGCUUGGGCUUUUAUCUGUCCUGAUCCUGGAUUUGUCCUGACCAAUGUAAGUGUCGCCCAAUAAAACCUUCUAUGACCCCCACACCAGCCACCCCCCCACCAAGUGUGCCCUUUCCUUCUUGACUUUUUAGCAGUUCUGGGUAAAUAUUGAUUUGCCCCCAGUUUACCUUCUCCCUGACUGGCCAUUUGCAGACUCAGGAACUAGCCUCUGUAGGGACUUGAUUUUUCUGUUACUUUCUGGCCGUUUCACCACCCCCCUUCCUCCCUCCAAGUGGCAUUGUAAAACUCACAGUGACAAAGAGACAGAGUAGGGUUCUAGGCCCCUGUUCCUGGGGACUUGAAGGCGGUUUUACAUACUGGUCAGACACGGCUGGAGGCCAAGGUCAAGUUGAAAGUUGCAGUCCAGCCAGCAUGAGAACUGCCAUGCGAGCGUAGAGACACAGGCAGCAGCAAAAGGCCCAUUGCCCACAUCCCCUCACUCUUAAUUUUCUCUCUCUUUUUAAAAUUCUCGCCUCUGACUCUGUUCGGCUGCCCAGAAUUUUUUGGUGCCUUCGUGGGGUUUUUGGGGCGGUGUUUACCGACUCUUCUCUGCCUCCGCCCUGCUCAGCCAGGGCUUUGAGCCUCUUCGGUUUUCCGGCCAGACCCGGAAAAACGAAAACACAGCUUGGGGAGCCCCCACUAGCCGGCGCCUGUGCCAGCUCACCUCUGGCCAUGGCGCAGCUGCCGGUGCACACGGCGGCCAAGGCCAGCUCCACAUUCUUCCCUCCCCCUCCCACUUCACCGUAGCCCCGAACCCUGCGCGCAGAGAAAGGGUCUCAGCUCCACAGACGACUGGGUCCCUCCUCACCAAAAAUGGUGAGACAAGAUUUCAUCUGUCGGCCGAGGAGCCACAAGCAGGCAGCCAACAAACUGACUUGCUGUGGCAAAAGAAAGUUUGGAGGACGAUUGAGACGGGUGUGCUCUGGGAAGCAAGCACAGACCCUCCUAGCAUUUUUCCUCUUUUCCCAACGGCAAGGUCAAGAUUUGCUUGCCUGCCAAGGUAGUGGGUCCUGAUCUUCUGAGCUGUCUGUCCCUCUGAUUUUUUGUUCUCCAGGCUCAGGAAUUCCUAUAGGAUUGCAGAGGCACCUUCAACCUGAUAAUUUUAUAUUCUCAGGCUCCUCCUGGGUUAGACUGGGGAAGCCAGGGCACCCACUAGGAUCGGCCGGCAGCGGUGGCACCUUAGGCAUGACAGCCAAGCAGAGGGCUGCAUGAGUAGAGGUGGGAGAGGUGGGAGAGGCUGCAGUCACUUCCCAGGUACUGUCUGGUGCACUGAUUUCCCCGGAGGAGCCCUGAGAGGGCAGUGCAGGCAGGACCGGAGGGUAGUUUCUGCAGCACGGCCUUUAUUUCAGGAAUCACCAGAGCCUUUCUCAGUGUUCCAAAAUGCCUUGGCUGACAAGGCUUCUUACUUCCUGGGGUAGGCCAGGGUGCCCUGCAGGGACUGGUUGCCCAAAAACCUCUCACUGAAGAAAAAAACCGCAGCUAGGUUUUUCUGGGUGGGGAACUGGAUGCCAGCCUGGUCCACGCGGCUCUGGGCUCCCAGCAUUGGAGAAGAAAAGGAAAAAGGGAAACCAGGUUUUAAUCGAGCUUGAUUUUCAUUAGCAAAUGAAAUUUACCUGCUCUCACUUUAACUCUGAGGAGGCUGUCAGCACUGCUCCCUGGCACUAUUUCUUUGCAUCCAUCCAGCACUAGGAUAAACAUUCCUUGGUUGAUUCUAAAGACACUUUGUAUUUCAGGAUAUUCAUGUGCUUUUAAUGUAUCCAAGCAGCUUUACAAGCCACUUUUGCAGAACAUCUUAACCCUCUCUCUCCCACCCUAGGUGGGCUGGGGCACAGAGAUAAUGGCAAAGGAAGAAAGAUCCAGAGGAAAAACUGGUUGAGGGGCUGAGGAGAGAGAAAGAGAAAAGACGAAAUCGUCAAACAGUGUAGCACCUCUGAAGCCAAACUUGAGCAGAUCAUUUGGGAAAGGAGCAAGUGGGGGACUGCUCUGCUUAUGGAGGGAAUUUUGAGUGUCCCCAUCAGGUAGAAGCUGUACCCUCUUUCUUAAGGGGAAAGGGUUGGUAGGUCCUGAGAUCUGGGCUGAAGUUGGCCAGCGGACAGGGAAAUGGUGCAUCGAGUCACUCACUCAACCUUUUGUUCCAGAUUUUUGUGCAUUUGAAACAAUAAUAAGGCAGUAAAAGGCUUGAGGCUGUGGGAUAGUUUUGGGCUAUUGUCACUGUGGUGACCAAAUGUUAACAUGGUGAAAGUGGAAGUGCAAGGUCCAGGAAGAUCUACAGGGACCCCCACUUUGCCUUUAAGAUCCCUUCAUGGGGUGGAUCUCAAGGACAGCAGGUUUUUGGAGGAGCAGCUCUCCUGCUGCCUGUAGAGUUUUUUGUUUUGUUUUGUUUUUUCAGGUACCACAAAGCCACUAGUGCACAGGGACUCAGAAAAGACGGCAGGAGCCCAAGGAAAACUCCAAUUUGAGUACAGCCCUGCCUUGUUUCCCCCAGAGAGUCCCUGAGCAAGGAGACCUCCACCCCACACACACCAUUUCAGAACAACCAGGUUCCAGACUCCCAUGAGGAGCAUCUCCCACUGCAGAGCCUUGGCCAGCCGCGCCCGGACUCCUCAGAGCUGGCGCAAACUCCGUCCUCCAAAACUCGGCUCUGGGAGGCCUAAGUGACUCCGAAGCCGGCGGCAGCCGCGGCAGCGGCCGUGGUGGUGGAAGAGCUCUUUUCCCCGACAGUGCCACUGAUCGCUCUUCACUGGAGCUGGAAACAGCCUUCGCGGAAAGGACCGGAGCAUGCGUUAGAAGCAGAGGGAGCUUGGUGAAGGGCUCGGCUGGAAGGAGGAAACGCCUUCUCGCAGUGCGCGGCCAGCCCGCGGGGGACACCGGCUUGCUGGACUGCAGGGGCCCGUGCCACCCAGGAAGUGACCUGCGGGUCACUCAGCCGGGGCGCUGGGCGAGCGCGGGACGGCCCGGAGAAUUCCGUGCGGCUGCGACGGGAAAAGGACGAGGGGUCUCUGUACCCGACGCUGCCACUGGCCCAAAGGAAUUUUACCCGCGAGCGCCCACCCCACCCUAGCUUGAUGCUUACGCCCGCAACAAAACAGGAAACCAGGACUGGGCAGUGCAUUCUUUAAGUCAACAAAUACACUGAAGACUUCGAGCGUUUGAAGGAAGGAGGGGGUUUGCACGUAAGCCUGGCCCCGCCGGGCUCGGCUUUCUCGCUGAGAAAGCGGCGCAGGCAGCCAGGCGGCCUGGGCCCGCGGGGGUCCAUCUCGCCCUAGACUCCUAAGAACUCCCACGGCCCUGUUCCCAGCUGCGAAUUCUUAAUGCACAACGCGACGGAGGGAAGGAAAUUCACCAGCGCAGCGACGAGGAAGGGGAACUCAGGACCCCUUCAAGUACACACUGAGGUGUGAUCAGAGUUUUAUGGGCACUUUAUAUGCUGUAAUCAUAACGAUGUGUGUGCCUUGAUAUGCACGCAUAUUCACGCAUCAAACGUGCAUACACACACAGAGUGAAUGUGCGCAUCCAAUGUCAUGUGGGUGAAAUACAAGCAUCAUACCCAGCCCUACGAAAAAAAAAUUCACCCUGUCGGACCAGGCUGGUGACAUACUUCGCUGGCGCAUCUCCUUACUCACUCUUACUUUUCCGACCCCUCACCAUUCCCUCUCCUGUGGCUUGGUAAAUACACCUGCCCUCCGUGGAAGGUGAGUCCUGGACUGGCGUUGCCAGGUUCGCAUGUCCUCCCCAGAACCUCCGUCUGGCUCCAGGGACUCUCACUGAGCGGGUCUAGAGCACCCAGCACUUUUCAAGGAACAGCCGCGGUUCCUUUGUCCCGCGGCUCCAGCCCCGUUCGGCCCAGCUCUCAGGGAAACGAAGCGCUCAGUAAGAACUUUUGAUAUUAGUUUGUAUGGGUAUUUACACUCUGGUGAGGGGAGCUGAGUACGGAAGUUCCAUUAAUCAUACUCCAACCUUGGGUUUAGAUAUUCAGUUUAUGGGUUGGGAGAGGGAGUUUGCCGGAAAGAAAGCAUCAAGGUUGGCCGCUGACUCCAGAGAAAUGAAAAGGGAGCAAGGUCGUUUUCUGUUUCUGGAAAUCAAGAAUUAGGAAUGGGCAACUACAGGUGCUAACCAACAGACCACUUUUUUGUUUUUUGGUAGCCCUUUGGCAGGGAUAGUUUUUCCACCUUUGCCCGAUACAAUUUAAAAAAAAAAAUCCUUUUAUUAUGGAAUUUGUCAAACACACACACAAGCAUAACAAACCCCUAGGUACCCAUCUCCAAGUUUUGACCCCUAUUAUAAUUUCAUCUUCAGUGUUUUAUUAUCCACUUCCUCUCUCUCUAUCUUUAGUAUUUUAAAGUAAAUCCCAGAUAGCAUCACAUCAUUUCACCCCCACCAUAGGAUUUCAAAGAUCUGUUAUAUUUCAAGAUUGAGUAAAAGGGCUUGAAAUUGGGUUAUUGCAAUGAAACUCUAGAAAAAGCUUGAGGGUUCACCCAGGAGUAAGCUGGACAAAAAAGGGGUUUGAGGGGUGGACCCAUCUUGCCUAAAAAUCUUGUCUCAUCUUUCUAAAAAUUACAUAUGAAAGAGGAAGAUUUAUGUUACUUUUUUAUAUGAGAGAAUCGUCCUUUAAUAGAAAAUUUCUAUUGCUGCAUCAGAAUUAUGGAGGAACACAAAAAACAUACCUCAGUCCUUAGUGUGUCCUAAAUUAACACAUAUUCACUUAUUAGUGGGUAAAUGACUAUAUUUCAUUUCAGCACAACUUCUCCCCUGGUAGAAACACAAAAGAAAUUUCUAAUGAUUAAACUAGGAAAGUUUGCACUGAAUUGAUGGCUUAUCAGAGCAACCGCAGUUUUCAGGAAGAAAUUCAAUGCCAUGCGUUGAAAAUAUCCCCCUAGCAAUAAGGGAUUAUUUUUAAAAAAGAAUGAAUAAAGAUGUUCUGGUUUCUUUUGUUUUAAUCUGGUAGUCUCAUUUACAACGAGCAUGAUUCUCCCUGUCGAACUCUGAAAGUGACUUAACUGAAAGGCUUGGCAACUUCAGAAAGCAAAAAGGUAAAAACAGAAAAUAGCACACGGUUGAAUUUGACAACUUUUACACUACCCGGCUGCUUAAUAAAUUCUAACCCCACUUGUCUGAGUGGAUACUGAUCAUCUUUUCUAUGGCAGUAUUUUGUAUUUGGGUUGUUUAUGGUUUCUUAAUUAAUUUUUUUGAGUAGUGAUUAAAUAUCUGGGAUGCUUUUACACUAAGCAUAUAAAUUCUCAUGGUAUUAGAAAAGAGCUAUUUGAUGAAACUCAUAAGGGGUAUGUAAAUUAAAAAAGAGAAGAAAGUGUGUGUACAUAUUUUACAAUAAUCUCGAACGACUCCAACUAUAUGUUGCAGAAGCCAUGAGCUCUCUGCCCACUGUCUGUGGGGUAUCAGCAAGAUUGACUCCUACCAAGCCUUGGGCACAGUGGUGG
rnacentral:lncRNA from 1 species